UCCUUAUGAAAGUGGCGCACGGGUGCGUAACGCGUAUGCAACCUACCUUUAUCAGGGGGAUAGCCCGGAGAAAUCCGGAUUAACACCGCAUAAAAUCACAGGAUAGCAUUAUUCAAUGAUCAAAUAUUUAUAGGAUAAAGAUGGGCAUGCGUGUCAUUAGCUAGUUGGCGGGGUAACGGCCCACCAAGGCGACGAUGACUAGGGGAUCUGAGAGGAUGGCCCCCCACACUGGUACUGAGACACGGACCAGACUCCUACGGGAGGCAGCAGUAAGGAAUAUUGGUCAAUGGAGGCAACUCUGAACCAGCCAUGCCGCGUGCAGGAAGACUGCCCUAUGGGUUGUAAACUGCUUUUAUCCGGGAAUAAACCUACUUACGUGUAAGUAGCUGAAUGUACCGGAAGAAUAAGGAUCGGCUAACUCCGUGCCAGCAGCCGCGGUAAUACGGAGGAUCCAAGCGUUAUCCGGAUUUAUUGGGUUUAAAGGGUGCGUAGGCGGCCUGUUAAGUCAGGGGUGAAAGACGGUAGCUCAACUAUCGCAGUGCCCUUGAUACUGAUGGGCUUGAAUGGACUAGAGGUAGGCGGAAUGAGACAAGUAGCGGUGAAAUGCAUAGAUAUGUCUCAGAACACCGAUUGCGAAGGCAGCUUACUAUGGUCUUAUUGACGCUGAGGCACGAAAGCGUGGGGAUCAAACAGGAUUAGAU
rnacentral:rRNA from 1 species